rnacentral:rRNA from 1 species
UUGGAGGGCAAGUCUGGUGCCAGCAGCCGCGGUAAUUCCAGCUCCAAUAGCGUAUAUUAAAGUUGCUGCAGUUAAAAAGCUCGUAGUUGAAUUUCGGGACCAUCAUGUCGGUCGUGCCUCGGUACGUACUGGCAUCGUCGGUUUCUCCCUUCUGACGAACCAUGAUGUCAUUUAUUUGGUGUUGUGGGGAAUCAGGACUGUUACUUUGAAAAAAUUAGAGUGUUUAAAGCAGGCUCACGCUUGAAUACAUUAGCAUGGAAUAAUGAAAUAGGACGUUUGAACCUAUUUUGUUGGUUUCUAGGAUCGACGUAAUGAUUAAUAGGGAUAGUUGGGGGCAUUAGUAUUCAAUUGUCAGAGGUGAAAUUCUUGGAUUUAUUGAAGACUAACUACUGCGAAAGCAUUUGCCAAGGAUGUUUUCAUUAAUCAAGAACGAAAGUUAGGGGAUCGAAGACGAUCAGAUACCGUCGUAGUCUUAACCAUAAACUAUGCCGACUAGGGAUCGGAUGAUGUUAAUUUUUUAAUGACUCAUUCGGCGCCUUACGGGAAAC